rnacentral:rRNA from 1 species
AGCAUUCUCUGGUGUUGAAGGCCCUGCAAAGCAGCAUCGCGGUGGCGGAGCGUCGUUUGCGACGCCCAACACACAAAACAAGCGGUGAGUGCUUUGGGGUGGGGUGACUGCGUACCUUUUGUAUAAUGGGUCAGCGACUUAUAUUCUGUAGCAAGGUUAACCGAAUAGGGGAGCCGGAGGGAAACCGAGUCUUAAUUGGGCGUUAAGUUGCAGGGUAUAGACCCGAAACCCGGUGAUCUAGCCAUGGGCAGGUUGAAGGUUGGGUAACACUAACUGGAGGACCGAACCGACUAAUGUUGAAAAAUUAGCGGAUGACCUGUGGCUGGGGGUGAAAGGCCAAUCAAACCGGGAGAUAGCUGGUUCUCCCCGAAAGCUAUUUAGGUAGCGCCUCGUGAAUUCAUCUCCGGGGGUAGAGCACUGUUUCGGCUAGGGGGCCAUCCCGGCUUACCAACCCGAUGCAAACUGCGAAUACCGGAGAAUGUUAUCACGGGAGACACACGGCGGGUGCUAACGUCCGUCGUGAAGAGGGAAACAACCCAGACCGCCAGCUAAGGUCCCAAAGUCAUGGUUAAGUGGGAAACGAUGUGGGAAGGCCCAGACAGCCAGGAUGUUGGCUUAGAAGCAGCCAUCAUUUAAAGAAAGCGUAAUAGCUCACUGGUCGAGUCGGCCUGCGCGGAAGAUGUAACGGGGCUAAACCAUGCACCGAAGCUGCGGCAG